rnacentral:rRNA from 1 species
GAUGAACGCUGGCGGCGUGCCUAAUACAUGCAAGUCGAGCGAACAGACGAGGAGCUUGCUCCUUCGACGUUAGCGGCGGACGGGUGAGUAACACGUAGGUAACCUACCUAUAAGACUGGGAUAACUUCGGGAAACCGGAGCUAAUACCGGAUAAUAUUUCGAACCGCAUGGUUCGAUAGUGAAAGAUGGCUUUGCUAUCACUUAUAGAUGGACCCGCGCCGUAUUAGCUAGUUGGUAAGGUAACGGCUUACCAAGGCAACGAUACGUAGCCGACCUGAGAGGGUGAUCGGCCACACUGGAACUGAGACACGGUCCAGACUCCUACGGGAGGCAGCAGUAGGGAAUCUUCCGCAAUGGGCGAAAGCCUGACGGAGCAACGCGGCGUGAGUGAUGAAGGUCUUCGGAUCGUAAAACUCUGUUAUUAGGGAAGAACAAACGUGUAAGUAACUGUGCACGUCUUGACGGUACCUAAUCAGAAAGCCACGGCUAACUACGUG